rnacentral:rRNA from 1 species
ACUUUUAAAUUAAGUAAGAGUAUUUGGUGGAUGCCUUGGGUCUGAAAGUCGAUGAAGGACGCGAUUACCUGCGAUAAGCUUCGUGGAGUUGGAAAUAAACUAUGAUACGGAGAUUUCCGAAUGGGGUAACCUAACUGAGCAAACCUCAGUUGCAUUUUGAUGAAUCCAUAGUCAAAUUAGCGAGACACGUUGCGAAUUGAAACAUCUUAGUAGCAACAGGAAAAGAAAAUAAAUAAUGAUUUCGUCAGUAGUGGCGAGCGAAAGCGAAAGAGCCCAAACCUGUAAAAAGGGGUUGUAGGACAUCUUACAUUGAGUUACAAAAUUUUAUGAUAGUAGAAGAAGUUGGAAAGCUUCAACAUAGAAGGUGAUAUUCCUGUAUACGAAAUCAUAAAAUCUCAUAGAUGUAUCCUGAGUAGGGCGGGCCACGUGAAACCCUGUCUGAAUCUGCCGGGACCACCCGGUAAGGCUAAAUACUAAUCAGACACCGAUAGUGAACCAGUACCGUGA